rnacentral:rRNA from 1 species
GAUGAACGCUAGCUACAGGCUUAACACAUGCAAGUCGAGGGACCGGCGCACGGGUGAGUAACACGUAUCCAACCUGCCCUUUACUCGGGGAUAGCCUUUCGAAAGAAAGAUUAAUACCCGAUAUAAAGGAUGGGGAUGCGUUCCAUUAGGUUGUGGGUGAGGUAACGGCCCACCAAGCCUUCGAUGGAUAGGGGUUCUGAGAGGAAGAACACCCGCAUUGGAACUGAGACAAGAUCCAAACUCCUACGGGAGGCAGCAGUGAGGAAGAUUGGGCAAUGGGCGGUAGCCUGAACCAGCCAAGUAGCGUGAAGGAUGAAGGCUUAUGGGGCGUAAACUUCUUUGAUAUAAGAGUAUGUAUUAUAUGAAUAAGGAUCGGCUAACUCCGUGCCAGCAGCCGCGGUAAUUC